GAACGAAACUUCUUUAUCACCGAGUGCUUGCACUCACCGAUAAAGAGUUGAGUGGCGAACGGGUGAGUAACACGUGGGCAACCUGCCCAAAAGAGGGGGAUAACACUUGGAAACAGGUGCUAAUACCGCAUAACCAUAGUUACCGCAUGGUAACUAUGUAAGAGGUGGCUAUGCUACCGCUUUUGGAUGGGCCCGCGGCGCAUUAGCUAGUUGGUGGGGUAAAGGCUUACCAAGGCAAUGAUGCGUAGCCGAACUGAGAGGUUGAUCGGCCACAUUGGGACUGAGACACGGCCCAAACUCCUACGGGAGGCAGCAGUAGGGAAUCUUCCACAAUGGGCGAAAGCCUGAUGGAGCAACGCCGCGUGGGUGAAGAAGGUCUUCGGAUCGUAAAACCCUGUUGUUAGAGAAGAAAGUGCGUGAGAGUAACUGUUCACGUUUCGACGGUAUCUAACCAGAAAGCCACGGCUAACUACGUGCCAGCAGCCGCGGUAAUACGUAGGUGGCAAGCGUUAUCCGGAUUUAUUGGGCGUAAAGGGAACGCAGGCGGUCUU
rnacentral:rRNA from 1 species